CCUACGGGGGGCAGCAGUAGGGAAUCUUUCACAAUGGGCGAAAGCCUGAUGGAGCAACGCCGCGUGCAGGAUGAAGGCCUUCGGGUUGUAAACUGCUUUUAUAAGCGAGAAAUAUGAUGGUAACUUAUGAAUAAGGAUCGGCUAACUACGUGCCAGCAGCCGCGGUCAUACGUAGGAUCCGAGCAUUAUCCGGAGUGACUGGGUGUAAAGAGUUGCGUAGGUGGCAUAAUAAGUAGCUAGUGAAAUCUGGUGGCUCAACCAUUCAGACUAUUAGCUAAACUGUUAAGCUCGAGACCGUUAGUGGUAACUGGAAUGUCUAGUGUAGGAGUGAAAUCCGUAGAUAUUAGAAGGAACACCAAUAGCGUAGGCAGGUUGCUGGGACGGUUCUGACACUAAGGCACGAAAGCGUAGGGAGCAAACGGGAUUAGAUACCCCUGUAGUC
rnacentral:rRNA from 1 species